AUAAUACCCUAUUGAUUACAGAUGCUGGAAUGCUCUGUAGUCCAAAGUUCCGGCGCCUCAGGAUGGAUCUGCGGCCGAUUAGGUUGUUGUUGGGGUAAUGGCCCAACAAGCCAGUGAUCGGUACGGGUUGUGGGAGCAAGAGCCCGGAGUUGGAUUCUGAGACACGAAUCCAGGCCCUACGGGGCGCAGCAGGCGCGAAAACUUUACAAUGCGGGCAACCGUGAUAAGGGAACCUCGAGUGCCUGUAUAUGCAGGCUGUCCAGGUGUCUAAAACACACCUGAAGAAGGGGCCGGGCAAGACCGGUGCCAGCCGCCGCGGUAAUACCGGCGGCUCGAGUGGUGGCCACUUUUAUUGGGCUUAAAGCGUUCGUAGCUGGGUUGUUAAGUCUCUUGGGAAAUCUGGCAGCUUAACUGUCAGGCGUCUAAGGGAUACUGGCAAUCUUGGGACCGGGAGAGGUGAGGGGUACUUCGGGGGUAGGAGUGAAAUCCUGUAAUCCUCGAGGGACCACCUGUGGCGAAGGCGCCUCACCAGAACGGCUUCGACAGUGAGGGACGAAAGCUGGGGGAGCAAACCGGAUUAGAUACCCGGGUAGUCCCAGCCGUAAACGAUGUGCGUUAGGUGU
rnacentral:rRNA from 1 species